AUAAUAAAAGCUAGACAAGAAUAGAUUGAAGCAGUAAAAUGAUAGAGUAUUCAUUAUUGAAGAAGAGUUGCCAAUACAAGUCAAGAGUAAGAAUGACUGAAUCCCCUCUUCCUAUACACGAGAGCUCUAUUUAUAGGUGACUAUCUGGGUCUAGCCCUAAAGCCCAUACAACCGUGUGACAAAGCCCAAAUCGUUGACAUAACUGAAAUCGCCAUAGCUGAAAAUCGGCAUAGCUGGAGGUCAAAGCUGGCAUCUGGCCUAGCUGCACUUUGACAAGGCUGUCAAAGUAGGUUUUUGAGCAAAAUUGUCCCGGGAGCGCCCCCAAAGGUGGAUCUCCACUAGAGGUCUGCUCAAGGUGGGAUUUUCACGGGUGUACAGCGCUGAUGCAUAUUUUACUCCCCAUCAGCUACAAAGUCAUAGAUUAUAAUUACGAUUAAAUUAAAAAUUGAUAUAUUUUUUGGUCAAAUUAUAAGGUUAUGUUAUAAACUAAAAAAUUGGUAAAUUAUUAGUAUUUUUCGGCAAUACCCCGAAUAAAAUAGCUAUUUUAAUAUUUGCACAAUAUUAAAAUGUGUACAUAGUAUUUGACGUACAACGUACAAACCCGAGAAGCAGUGGGAUUGACCCCAUGAGUCUAUGACCAUGAGCGCACUGAAUCUUUAUAGCGUAAAGUCUCGGCGCCUUUUCUCCCAAUUUCCGUCACACUCCAUUGCCCUCCCUCACCCUAACCGCCUGCUCUUUACGACCCUUAAACAUUUUCCACCAUUUUCUACUACCUUUGUCGUGUGCGAUAGCAUGGCCAGUUCAGGAUCAAGGUCCGGUCAUACUUCCUCUGUGUGUUUCUAUCUUCUCAUUUUACUUUUAUACUCUAAUAGAUUGUGUAAAUACUCAAUUCCCAUUGUUCAAUAGUUGCUUGAUUUUACAUCUCGUUUUGUGCUUGUUAGACCAGAAAUUGCACCUUUUUCGAAGGCAUUGUAAAUUUUUGGUUUGGUUGGAUUAAACUAGCUGGAGUUCCCGGAAAAUAGGAAAUUUCAAAAAUAGUUCAUUGCCUGACGUUUCGCAUAAAUGUGAAUUAUUGACCAGGUGUGUUGUGUGUGUGUGUUUGUUUUUUGUUUUACAGUUCCUCUGUUUUAGCUGAAUUUGAUUGCACUGAGAAUGGUGGAACGAUCGAAACUGUUACCCCUAAAUAUGCCGAAAUAAUUGUAAUUCGUCACGGCGAAACGGAGUGGAACAACGAUCGCCGAAUUCAGGUCUGUGUUUUUUGCCACUUUCUGAGUAAAUUGAGUGUGGUAUUCACGUGAUUGAUGAAGCAAAGUGCAUUCUUUGUUAAAAAUCUGGAGUUCUGCAUUAAAAUUCACGCCGGUGCUUUAAAUUAGUCAUAACUCUGUUGAAUUUAAGGAUGAUUAGCGAAUACAUGUAUCUGAUAAGUUAGGAAAGUGAGUUUUAUUUAAGAAUUGUAGUUGUGCUCAGGUUGCUUAGUUUUACUUAUACCCUACUCCAGUUAAAAUUUAUGGUCUUGCAUCAUUUCGACAUUAAAGUUUAGAAAUGCUUAUUUCUUUCAAGAUUUACGAACAACAGUUCUUAUGCAAGCUACCACUUCAAAGUAAUUAUUCCCCUUUCUGAUGUAGUGGUAAAUAAUAGAUUCAUCGACAUUUAUGUUAUAGUUGCAUCUUUGUGAUGGGCAGGGGCACCUGGAUGUGGACUUAAAUGAUGUUGGGCGACAGCAAGCAGUUUCCGUAUGUUGUGAUUCUGCAAUUUCUAGUGUUAUUUUCUAGUGUAGGCAAUAAUGUGAUUUGGGAUUUGUCAUUUCUUGCUCAAGGUGGCUGACCGGCUUUCGAAGGAGCCCAAAAUCUCUGCAGUAUAUUCGUCAGACUUAAAACGAGCAUUUGGCACUGCUGAGAUAAUAGCGAAAGGCUGUGGGGUAAUUGAGGUACAACUCGAGGAUCAUCUUUUAGUUUUUGUUUUCAUGACUCUUAUCUUCUUGAAGUAAACUGUUGAUGUGAAGUACUUGUUACAGUCAAAUUACCAACCUUUGAAAAGUUGUCAGCCAAUUCUCUACUUUUAGCAGCGGCACUUACAUGUUGCGAUAAUAGCUUUGUACUUAUGGCUCAUUGUUAUUUUUCACGCUGCAAAGAAAUUUAGAAACUCACCACGACUAGGAGAAUAGUUGGUGAAAUCAGGAUCUAUAUUUAUUUAUUUAGUUAUGAAAAGAAGGCAAUGUAGGAAACGAUGAGAUUAAAGAUGAGAUUCUAGUUAUUUCAUUGUCUUUUUUGUCCAGUUUUUUUAUAACUCGCCCUUGCUGUCCUUUCCUUGUCUAAGUUCUGUGCCUUCAUUCUUUGCUGUCUUUUAGUUUAACAUGCUUUUAUUGGCUUGUAUGGUGUUGUAUUACACUACUUUCUGGUGCUGAGUUCUAGAGAUAGGAGGUGUGUUUCAUUACACUAUAGAUUACAAGAUCACGAGUGGCUUAAAUAGUUGUUUUUGAUUGUUUGGUCAUAUAUGUUGGGUUCACUUGUACUUUAACGUGCUCUUGGGAAUGACUCAUUUUGUCAUCUGUUGAAUCCCUCUAAGUAUGCAGAGUUUGCAAAUCACCACCUAGCACUUUGCAGAAGCAGAAUAUUCUGCCUAGAUCCCGUUCCAUUCAUUCAUGCAUUGCAAAUGAAAAAAAAGUUGUAUUUUCACACUUGAACUUUAUGUAACUUCUCAUUGAUCUCACUUUGCCACCCGACCUUCAAAAUGAAUAGGAAAUAUAGAUAUAUUUAAAUGUGACAAUGUGUUUUUUUUUACUCAUAUAAAAAAUAUGAAGUUUAAGUUAACAACAACUUAAAAGAUAUAUAACACGGUAAUAAAUUCACCAAUUUAUAUAUUUAUUAUUAAGAUUCCAUACAAAUAUUAUUCAUAAUUUUGUUAAUUAUGCUGAAUUUCAAAUUACAGUAAUGAUAUAAGCUUCCAACUUUGAGUAGACUAAAUUAAAAUCAAAUAAUCAUGUAAACUUGAACAUAUUGAAAGGGUUUAAAAGAAUAAAUUAGUUUAGAUAAAGUAAAAUUAAAAAAAUAUAUGGAUUUGACUAACAAUUAUAUUAAUGUGAUUGAUACUUCAAACAUAUAGUUUAUAAUUUUGCUUGAGUUGAAACUAACUUACGUUAAAAUGUUAAAACAUAAGCUUGUCUCCAUGAAGUAAAAGUCGAGUAAAAUAUUAAAUUAUUAUGAUAUUCAUGCAUCGACUUUUAGUAAACUAAGCUAAUUAAAUUAAACUAAAAAACCAUUAAAUUAAAUAAGUAUGCUAAUAAUGAUGGCAAUAAUAUUUAUACUAUAGCAAUAAUGUCAUACUCAAACAUACUGAUAAUAGUUGCAUUUUCUUGUAAGUGUAUAGUUAUAAUUUUUAGUUUUCCACUUUUCCUUGAGUCGACUAAACUUUAAUUUAAAAAUAUAGUAAAAACUAAAAACUAUGUUAUCGGUAUAUCUCUAUGAUACUUUUCUUAAAAAGUAAAAGCCAUGCAAUGCUUAUGUAAUAAAAUGACAUACCAUUUGGAUGAUUGACCAAUAUGCUCUCAUGUUCCAUACAUGUCUAACCAAAAUGUUUCACUGGAAUUGGUGAUUCAUAAAUCCUAUAUAGUUCAUGAUGCAUCCAAUGACCAAAAGCAUUAAUGUAUAUGUGACAAAGUGGAAUUAGCCCUUUAUGUAUUGUUGGUGCCCUUUGGUUCUGAUUGUUUACUGUACAACUUGGAAUGUGUGGCAUCCGAGUUUACUCUGAUUCAGAUGAUACUAUUUUUGAUGUUGUACAGUUUCAUACCUGUUUUACUGAAGAACUGAUUUCUCAUAGUCCUCAAUUGUUAAGCUAUCUUUCAAGUAACAUAAAUCUGUUUUGCUUCCAUCAGGUUGCUAAAGAACCAGACUUGCGGGAGAGACAUCUCGGAGACCUUCAAGGUGUUGUCUUUCAUGAAGCUCAUAGAGUCAAUCCAGAAGCUCACAAAGCAUUUGUUUCUCCCCAUGAAGAUCAAGAAAUUCCUGUAUACUCUCUCUCUCUCUCUCUCUCUCUGUCCACACACAUACAUGAACACACUAACUUAUAGUUCUCUUGGUGCUCUAUGUUUUGCCUGUAUCUAUUUAAAGGUGUACUCGCUGAUAUAUCCUUCACCAUAUCUUUUAUUUCCAUGCUACCCUUGAAAUCCUUCUUGGAUGUCAAAGGUCUCUUCUAUAUUGUGAAAUGCCAUCUGUAGCAUUUCCAGAGAACUCCUUGGUUUGAAAUAAAGUUACCCAUAAUAUUGCAGUAAGCACAUGAUAAAUUAAAAUUCUUGACUGCUUGAGCAGCCACUUGAUUUCACUACCAUUUUGCAGCAUAGAAUGGAAUUAGAGGAUACUUGUACCCCACAUUGUAUAGUAGAUAUAUGCCCCCUAAAAUAUAAAAUUAUCCGCUAUCCGAAUAAUUAUCCCUUCUUACAGAAAACUUCUCCUGCAUCUUUAUAAAUUAUGUAAAACUAUUCUUGGACCUUAAUAAGAGACAGGUGAAUCAGACCUCAUGGUUGGCCUUACAAUUGCUGUGUAAUUUGGACUGGGGAACUAAGGCUGUGAUUGAUUGCCCAGUUCGUCACGGAGAAUUGAAUUUGCCAUGUGUUGUAUAAAAAAUAUUUGUGAGAGUUCGGUAUGCGUCUAAAAGAGUUUAUUUUCGCGGAGGAAAAGAGUAAUAAUGACAAUUUCUUUUCAUGUGAUUUUGUUUGGUUGUAUAUGGUUGAUUGUGGAAAAUUCUUUCCCAGGCGAUCAUUUAGUUUGUUCAGUUGCCUAGUCACUAUAUUUAACAAAUAAGCUUUUAAAGCUAAGUGAGUUCUGGUUAUAGCUAAUCCGCAAUGUAUGCAGGGUGGUGGAGAGAGUUUCAAUCAACUAUACAAACGCAGCACUUUGGCUUUGCAAAGGAUCGCAAAGAGACACCAAGGUAGUUGUUGCUCAACUUGCCAUAUCCAGAGAAGAGUUUCGAGCAAUUCAUUAUAAUGUUGAGUUUGCGCAGGAGAGAGAGUGGUCGUAGUGUCACACGGGGGUACCAUUAGAGCACUUUUUAAACGGGCUUCGCCACAUCAGCGGUGCGGGAAGGUUCUCAACACUUCCGUCAAUGUAUUUCAGCUAUCCGAGGAUGAGAAAUGGUGCAUUAAAUCAUGGGGAGAUGUGAGUCACCUCAACCACACUGGAUUUCUGGACUCGGGCUUUGGCGGAGAUCGAAACUCUGGCUAGAAUUCUAGAUUUCUCACAAUUGAGACGUGGUAUUGUUUCCAACAGAAUGAUAAACUAGUGCCUUAGCCUCAGGUACAUGCAUUCAUUCUUAUACGUCAUGAAUAUUUUUGAGGGAGUUAUAAAGCCUUUGAAUAAUCAAAUUUUAGUUGAGGAAGUUAGUUCUCUUAUUCUCAAACAGAACUUGUGUUCACACGUUUUAUUGUUUAUUGGGAGAUGAGGGAUUAGGAAGCAUAACUACUAAGCUAUAAUGUUGGUGAUAGCUUCUGUUCACACGUUAGUUCCAAAUUGCUUCACAUUUCUCGUGCCAAAACAUCUAUAUAAUAUGUAAGAGAGAAGUUUUUCCCUCCAUUUUUUCCCUCUUUAUUUCUCUCUUCCUCCACCAAUUUUUUCACUAUUUCUUUCUUUUUAUCUUUUAUUUUUUAAUUAUUUUCUAAACCUCAUCAAAUUUGAUUUAUGAACAAAAAUAAUCAAUAUGUAUCUUAAAUUUAAUAUAGUAUAGAAAUCAUCAAAAAUAAAUUUAAAAUGAAUAAGUUAUGAAAAAAUAAAAUAUUUUAUUUUCUGUCUCUUCAUUAAAAAUUUACAACUUUUUAUGUAUGAAAAUAUUUAUUAUGAUGAAUAAUUUAUAUAAUAAUAUGCAUAAUGUAAAUUUUUAUUAUCAAAUAAUUUUAAAUUUAUUUAAUAACUAUAAUUAUCAUUACACUUUGUAUAAAUUGAAAAUUUACAUUCGUAAAUAAGUUAAUACAUAAAUAUGGCCACUUUUAUAUAGUAAAACUAAAAUUUGACUUAUGAAAUAAAAAUAUUAAAAAUUGGCCAGAUUUUGUGCCAAAAAGGUCAGAGAUAUCUCUCCCCAAAAACAAAAAAUCUGCACCCUCUCUCUGCUGCACUCUUUCUCUCUGUUUCUCUCUCUCUCUCUCCCUCCCGCUCUCUCUCUCGCCGCCGCCACUCAAUCUCCGGCAAUCGCAGCGGCAGCGCCGCAAAGCCACCACCACCGCGACGCCUCUCUCAUUCUUCGUCAGAUGGCAGCGAACCACCGCCUAUUCUCCCUCCCCCUGUCGCCGCCCGUCCGCCGCGCCGCUCCGCCCCGCCGCCACUCACUCUCCGUCAAUCGCAGCACAUCAUUGGUCUGCUGAGAUUAAUGCUUGAUGGUCAAAAAUCGAAGCAUGCUCGUUUAGUAGUGAUCUCAAUUACUUCUCAAAUUCGUGCGCUGAAAUUUCUCUGGCGUUGAUUUGUGGUGGUUCGAUUUCUUUGAUGGAGUUUUUACAUGAUUUUUCCUUGGUAGUGGAGGUGGAAACCCGUCGACUGUGAGCUGCCCUGAUCAAGCCGAAGCAAUUUGCCAAUUUGUGAAUUAAUUGAUAACUGACUUUUAAUUCAAUUUUUAAAUCUUUUUUAAAGUCGUGAGAUUGUUAAUUCAUUUUAAUUCUAUUUAUCUUUUCCUAGUUAGAAUGUUAAUUUGUUCUUAUUCAAGCUCAAAUAUAUA
rnacentral:lncRNA from 1 species